CAGCCCAGACCUGCGAUGGAGUUACAGGAUGUCAGCUGUCGCCAGGGCCAGUGCAGCUCUGUGUGGGCCCAUCCAGGAGGCAGCUCUUGCUUUGGAGAAGGAACUGCUGCCUUCAAACACCCCUUCUCCCUUCUCCCCAGCUUAUGCCAAUCAGACCACCAAUCAGACCACAGCCACCAGCAGCCUUGGGAACAGGCUUGAGGUUGGCAUUGGGCCCGAUCCAGGCCAUGUGAGAGUCAUUCUUUGGCCCUGGCCAGUUCACAAACCAGUUUCCUGUCUCAGUACAUGCCAUUUUUAUGAUACUGCACAGCGUAAAGCUCUAUCUCAUGUGCUGGCUCACCAGGUCUCAGCCGCCCAUGACUGCAUGGCCAGAGCAGGCAGACGUCAUCACCUCUGUCUUAAAGAUGAGGAAACAGAGGCCUAGGAAUUGGCGGGGCUUCCCUGGCUCACCUGACCUGGUCACAGUGCCAUCAGGAGAUGUGCUCGGAACUGUUUCGCCAGGAGCUGUGACAGGUUUUGUGGACUCAGGCACAGCAGAGCAGCAUUUCACAGGGCUGACCAGGUGUACCGUUGCAGCCAGUGACACUGGAAAGGCUCUUCUUCGUCUGAAGUCCCUGGUCUAGUAAACGAAUACAGAAAGGUAUAAAUCCAGAGGGAUGUGACAACAGCAGACUGGACACGUCAACAAAAUUUUGGAAAAUGGGAAGUACAUGGUUUAGUGGAAUAGAUGAACUGCCGCUACGUGCCAGCAAGUGCGGGGUCCUUGGACUUCCUCCAUGGACUUUACCAGAGUGAGAAGUUUCCAAGAGAGGAGGUGGAAGCUGCAAGCCCUGCGAUCUAGUCCCAGAUGUACCAGAAGGUCUCUUUGGCUGCAUCCCCUUGAGGAGCAAGUCACGGGAGCCACCUUGGAUCCCAGGGAGGGGAAAUCGGCUGCCCUUCCCACUGGGAGGAGCGUAAAGACUUUGUGGCCAUCCUUCAUGCUCCACUGCCCAUGUUGAGCCACCCGGAGUGCAGGGCGCAUGAGCCUCCUGUGUCCCGGUGGACCACCACCAACAGACGCCUUUCCCGCGUGUUCCGUAGCCCAGCCAAGGCCGCCUCACCCUGCAGAGACCACGAUGACCUCAGACUCAACUUCAUCAGCGUCCGUAACCAAGCCUCUCCCUGAACUACUGAUGCUGACAUCUGGUGACCCAGUCAGCCCACGUCUGGAGAUGCAGGGAGGAACCAGGGCCCGGAGGCCAGGUCUUAAUUAAGGAGCUCAGGAGCAGGAAAGCUCCUGUGCAGUGGCGGCAAAUGAAGAACCACUUCCUUCUAGAACAGUUAAGCGCGUCAUUCUUGGAAUUAGUACACUGCAGGUCACGCUUGGGGACGCAUGAAGGAUUUGACACCCACGUACACAUUUGUCAGCUUCUGAUCACACACCGAGCCGGAGGUGAAGGCAGCCGUCCAGGACACUGGAGGGACGAUGUGUUCCAGCUUGCACGUGUUCAGCUGCCACCCGCAGAACCUGUUUGCCCACUCUCGCCCAGGACAGGAGCCAGAAGGAGCUGGGGCAGGACCACCCCCUCCUCUGCCAGCACUGGCUCCCCGCUGCGCAGACCUGGGAAGGGCCCGCCCUCCACAGAAAACCACGACCCCAGUGGCGAUGCCACCAUCCAGGGGGCGGAAUCACUGAGGCAGCACCCGCCGUCAGGCUGCAUCGCACCUGCUGAAGCCCAGAAAUUUUAUAUUUGAUGCAAGUAUUGGAGGACUUGAUCAUGUUAUC